GGGAGAGAGAGAAUUUCAAUAAUAUUAUUUGAACUGCAAAUAACAUGGUAGGACCUAUAAUGAGUAAAUCUUCCUGUAUUUUUGAUCUAUGAUUUUAGGCAGAGUUUUUUGGAGAUUUUGUGAGUGAUCCUACCUACACAUUUUGUGACUAACUCCAUGAGCUUGGAACUUUU